GGAUGUGAGGGUGAUCUGGCUGCAACAUCUGUCACCCCAUUGAUUGCCAGGGUUGAUCUGGCUGGUCUGGCUUGCUAGUCGGGUAUCCCCUUCCUCCCUCACCUCUCAAUGUGCAUCCCUACGAAGCUACGUGUUUGGUGGAAGAGGACAAUGUCCCAGGUAUAGCAGGAGUGUACCAAGGUCUCCAGUCAUCAGUCCUGGGUAUAUGAUAGCUGCUGUCCUCUGCUAGAACCUCCAAACAAGUCAAGGUAUCUAGUUUUUUUUGUUGUGUUUUUUUUUGCUUAAUGGCCCAUUUCUUUGGAGAGUGUAUUAUACAGCUCCAGAAAUGUCU
rnacentral:snRNA from 1 species